rnacentral:rRNA from 1 species
CCCUAAGGCGCAAUGAAAGUGAAGGUCAGGCAUCGCACUGACUGAGGCAGGAUCCGUCCGGGUGAGCGAAGCUCUUCUUCUCUUCGCGGGUUCGUCCCGCGGGGGAGCUCGGCGGCGCACUGCCAGCCCAUCUCGGCCGCUUCCCGUCGGCGAGGUGGAGCUAGAGCGCACACGUUGGGACCCGAAAGAUGGUGAACUAUGCUCGGGCAGGACGAAGCCAGAGGAAACUCUGGUGGAGGUCCGUAGCGAUUCUGACGUGCAAAUCGAUCGUCGGACCCGAGUAUAGGGGCGAAAGACUAAUCGAACCGUCUA